rnacentral:rRNA from 1 species
UAGUACGGCGAGUGAGCGGGAAGAGCUCAAAUUUGAAAUCUGGCAGUCUUCGAUUGUCCGAGUUGUAAUCUAUAGAGGCGUUUUCCGUGCCGGACCGUGUCCAAGUCUCCUGGAAAGGAGUAUCAAAGAGGGUGAUAAUCCCGUACUUAACACGACCACCGGUGCUCUGUGAUACGUCUUCUACGAGUCGAGUUGUUUGGGAAUG